GACGAACGCUGGCGGCGUGCUUAACACAUGCCAGUCGAACGAAGAGCGAUGGGAGCUUGCUUCUAUCAAUCUUAGUGGCGAACGGGUGAGUAACGCGUAAUCAACCUGCCCUUCAGAGGGGGACAACAGUUGGAAACGACUGCUAAUACCGCAUACGAUCUAAUCUCGGCAUCGAGGAUAGAUGAAAGGUGGCCUCUACAUGUAAGCUAUCACUGAAGGAGGGGAUUGCGUCUGAUUAGCUAGUUGGAGGGGUAACGGCCCACCAAGGCGAUGAUCAGUAGCCGGUCUGAGAAGAUGAAUGGCCACAUUGGGACUGAGACACGGCCCAGACUCCUACGGGAGGCAGCAGUGGGGAAUCUUCCGCAAUGGACGAAAGUCUGACGGAGCAACGCCGCGUGAGUGAUGACGGCCUUCGGGUUGUAAAGCUCUGUUAAUCGGGACGAAAGGCCUUCUUGCGAAUAGUGAGAAGGAUUGACGGUACCGGAAUAGAAAGCCACGGCUAACUACGUG
rnacentral:rRNA from 1 species